GGGAGACCUUGCUGCUCCCGCCCUGGUGCCUCCUCUUGCAAUAAAGUCGGUGCAACUUCUGGAGUCCCUGGGGUCUGUGCUGGGUGCGCCGGGCGGGGCGGGCCGAGCGGCGGGGCGGACUCCGGGAGGCGGGGCGGGACUCCGGGAGGCGGGGCCAGAAGGCUGGAGCUGCAUAUGCCAGAAGCCAGCUGAGCACAAGGGUUCCCACCACCCAGGGAUACACAAUGGGAAGACCGGACAGAGGACCGGGUCGGGGGAAGGGAGUGAGAGAGAGUGGCUCUUUUUCUUUUUAUAACUUUGUGUACCUAAUCUCAGACUUCCAGAAAAGUUCCCCAGAUGUUAUCAUUUCCUUAUAUUUGCCUAAGCCUUUUAUUAGUUUUUGACAGUAAAUGCAUUCGAUUCCCGUUUAUCCCUAAAUACUUCUGUUGUGUGUUUCCUGAAAGCAAGGAUAUGGUCUUCCACAAG
rnacentral:lncRNA from 1 species